rnacentral:rRNA from 1 species
AGAGNUGAUCCUGGCUCAGGAUGAACGCUGGCGGUAUGCUUUNACACAUGCAAGUCNGAACGCAAGUUUUUAACUUGAGUGGCGGACGGGUGAGUAACACGUGAGAAUUCACCUUUAGGUGGGGAAUAACUUUUGGAAACGAUAGCUAAUGCCCCAUAGACUCGAAAGAGAAAAAAGAGCAAUCUGCCUAAAGAGAAGCUCGCGGCUGAUUAGCUAGUUGGUAAGGUAAUGGCUUACCAAGGCGACGAUCAGUAGCUGGUUUGAGAGAACGAUCAGCCACACUGGAACUGAGACACGGAUCCAGACUCCUNNACGGGAGGCAGCAGUGGGGAAUUUUCCGCAAUGGGCGAAAGCCUGACGGAGCAAUACCGCGUGAGGGAUGACGGCCUUUGGGUUGUAAACCUCUUUUAUCAAGGAGGAAGUUCUGACGUGUACUUGAUGAAUAAGCAUCGGCUAACUCCGUGCCAGCAGCCGCGGUAAGACGGAGGAUGCAAGUGUUAUCCGGAAUCACUGGGCGUAAAGCGUCUGUAGGUUGUUUAAAAAGUCUGCAGUUAAAGGUUGAAGCUUAACUUCAAAAAUGCCGUAGAAACUUUUAAACUAGAGGAUGGUAGGGGUAGAGGGAAUUUCCAGUGGAGCGGUGAAAAUGUGUAGAUAUUGGAAAGACCACCGAUGGCGAAGGCACUCUACUGGCCAUGACUGACACUGAGAGACGAAAGCUAGGGGAGCAAAUGGAUUAGAUACCCCAGUAGUCCUAGCCGUAAACGAUGGAUACUAGAUGUUGUGUGUAUUGACCCAUGCAGUAUCGUAGCUAACGCGUUAAGUAUCCCGCCUGGGAAGUAUGCUCGCAAGAGUGAAACUCAAAGGAAUUGACGG